rnacentral:rRNA from 1 species
CCUACGGGAGGCUGCAGUGAGGAAUAUUGGUCAAUGGGCGGAAGCCUGAACCAGCCAAGUAGCGUGAGGGAUGAAGGCCCUAUGGGUCGUAAACCGCUUUUGCACGGGGAUAACACGCUCCACUUGUGGAGUGCUGACGGUACCGUGCGAAUAAGCACCGGCUAAUUCCGUGCCAGCAGCCGCGGUAAUACGGAGGGCGCGAGCGUUAUCCGGAUUUAUUGGGCUUAAGGGGAGCGUAGGCGGGAGUAAAAGUCAGCGGUAAAAUCGCGGGGCUAAACCGCGCUCCGCAGUUGAAACUGGACGGCUUGAGUACACACCAGGCAGGCGGAAUUCGUGGUGUAGCGGUGAAAUGCAUAGAUAUAACGAGGAACCCCGAUAGCGAAGGCAGCCUGCCGGGGUGCGACUGACGCUGAGGCUCGAAGGUGCGGGUAGCAAACAGGAUUAGAUACCCUAGUAGUC